GAUAUGAGUGCAUGGGAUAGCUGGCAAUUUUGACUAAAUCUCAACCGUUCAUGAUUCAAUGGUCAUGAUUGUGCCACGUGGCAAUGGUUGGUGAAGCAAGUUGGAGGAUCCGAAUCUUUGUAUUCGGGUCGACACGAUCCACCCAUUAACCCGCCAAAUCUCAACCGUUCGUUGGGCAAAUCGGACGAGUCAAAUGAUGCCACGUGUGAUGUUGAGUUUUGAAGUUUGACCGGCCAUUGGAUCUUGAUCUAAAGGUUGUGAGGAGCACAUGCAUGAAGCCUAUGAUGGACCGCAAAGCACUGGAUUAUGAAUUUAUUUUUCUAUAAAUAGAGCCUCAUUUUUAUGUUUUAAUCAUCUUUCUACAACUCUCUUCUUCUCAAUUUCUCUCCAUCUCCUUGUAAUCUUG
rnacentral:lncRNA from 1 species